rnacentral:rRNA from 1 species
CAUACUUUACCCCCACCAAAGUAUCCGCCUGAGGACUACGAGCACAAACGCUUAAAACUCUAAGGACUUGGCGGUGCCUCAAACCCACCUAGAGGAGCCUGUUCUAUAAUCGAUAACCCACGAUGCACCCAACCGCCCCUUGCCGAGGCAGCCUACAUACCGCCGUCGUCAGCCCACCUCCCUUGAGAGUACAGUAGUGAGCACAAUAGUUACCCCACUAACAAGACAGGUCAAGGUAUAGCCCAUGAGGCGGAAGAAAUGGGCUACAUUUUCUAAAAUAGAAAACUUCACGGAAAGGGAUGUGAAAACCACCCCUAGAAGGCGGAUUUAGCAGUAAAGUAGGAUAAUAAAGCCUACUUUAAGUUGGCCCUAGNN